rnacentral:piRNA from 1 species
UUAGAGAAGUGUCUGAAAUGGAGG